rnacentral:siRNA from 1 species
GUGGUAUUAUAUUUGAGUUCUCUA